UUCUGGGCUACACACGUGCUACAAUGGCCGGUACAGACGGACGCAAAGCCGCGAGGUGGAGCAAAUCCUAAAAAGCCGGUCUCAGUUCGGAUUGCAGGCUGCAAUUCGCCUGCAUGAAGUCGGAAUCGCUAGUAAUCGCAGGUCAGCAUACUGCGGUGAAUACCGGUUCCCGGGCCUU
rnacentral:rRNA from 1 species